GAACUGUUAGCUCAGUUGGUUUAGAGCGCUACCUUGACAGGGUAGAGGUCGAGGGUUCGACUCCCUCACAGUUCA
rnacentral:tRNA from 1 species